AUUGAACGCUGGCGGCAGGCCUAACACAUGCAAGUCGAACGAGUGGCGGACGGGUGAGUAAUGUCUGGGAAACUGCCUGAUGGAGGGGGAUAACUACUGGAAACGGUAGCUAAUACCGCAUACCAUCGGAUGUGCCCAGACGGGAUUAGCUAGUAGGUGGGGUAAAGGCUCACCUAGGCGACGAUCCCUAGCUGGUCUGAGAGGAUGACCAGCCACACUGGAGCGGAGACACGGUCCAGACUCCUACGGGAGGCAGCAUUGGGGAAUAUUGGAAAAUGGGCGCAAGCCUGAUGCAGCCACGCCGCGUGUAUGAAGAAGGCUUUCGGGUUGUAAAGUACUUUCAGCGGGGAGGCGUUACACGCAGAAGAAGCACCGGCUAACGCCGUGCCAGCAGCCGCGGUAAUUC
rnacentral:rRNA from 1 species